GCAUCACAAACUGCAUCAAGAUGUUUAUUGGACACAACUGGAAGCUCAUCACGAUGAAAUACAUGGUGAACGAUGGGAGUGGCAGGAUGACAAAGGCGCGCAUGCCAAUGUGAUGGAGACAUCAUACGUCUCCAACGUAUCUAUAAGUAUUCAUGCCAUGUUUACAAUAAUUCUAUAUGAUUUUGGAAUGAUUUUAUUAGAAC
rnacentral:lncRNA from 1 species